GAUGAACGCUGGCGGCGUGCUUAACACAUGCAAGUCGAACGAAGCAUUUAAGACAGAUUACUUCGGUUUGAAGUCUUUUAUGACUGAGUGGCGGACGGGUGAGUAACGCGUGGGUAACCUGCCUCAUACAGGGGGAUAGCAGCUGGAAACGGCUGGUAAUACCGCAUAAGCGCACAGUACCACAUGGUACAGUGUGAAAAACUCCGGUGGUAUGAGAUGGACCCGCGUCUGAUUAGCUUGUUGGCGGGGUAACGGCCCACCAAGGCGACGAUCAGUAGCCGACCUGAGAGGGUGACCGGCCACAUUGGGACGGAGACACGGCCCAGACUCCUACGGGAGGCAGCAGUGGGGAAUAUUGCACAAUGGAGGAAACUCUGAUGCAGCGACGCCGCGUGAGUGAAGAAGUAGUUCGCUAUGUAAAGCUCUAUCAGCAGGGAAGAUAGUGACGGUACCUGACUAAGAAGCUCCGGCUAAAUACGUG
rnacentral:rRNA from 1 species